rnacentral:rRNA from 1 species
AUGCUACCACUACCCGUCCACCUGUCCUUCAUGCGCGACCACUACUGGGCGGGCAUGAAGGCCAACUGGAUCGUCCUCAUCCACCACACCGGUAGUCCGUGGCGUCUCAUGGAUAUCUACACCCAGCGAGAGAUCACCCUUCCAUCGUUGGAUACCGCCGCCAUCGAGCCUCGCGGCCCGCCGGACACUCCUGCCUACUACGCACGAGACGCGUCAAGCUUUUGGCUCGACCUCUAUUUGCAGGAAGUUGUAAUCUGCGAAGUGCCCACACCAUCAGAAGACUACAUGGAUUACAAGCUCAUUGCCUUAUUCAACAUGGGAUUAGUCUAUCUGGAAUCCGGUCGCCAUACAUGCAGACGCAAAUGCGCUGGCCUUCAUGAUUCCAGGACCUGGAAUCAUACCAGCCGAUGGUCGAAGAAGGAUUGGCAGGUGCUGCCGGCUGGCGUCAAGUUCGAUCCCACGGAUCAGGAGCUGAUCGAGCACCUUGAGGCCAAAGUGAGUGCUAACAGCGCGAGAUUUCAGUCUCUCAACGAUUUCUUCAUACCAACCAUCGACAGCGAGCACGGCAUAUGCUACACCCAAAGUGAGAAACUUCCAGGUAUCACACUGAGUGGCCUAAGGAAGCAUUUCUUUCAGCACAAUUCCAGGGCAUUCAAAAGGGGCACGUGGACGCGUCGCAAGAUACAGUCGGAGUGCGGCAUGCACGCGAUGUGGCACAAGACCGACAAUACCUUGCCGGGUGAUGGUCAACGGCCGGCAGACGGGCAGCAAAAAAGGUCGAGCAAGUUUCAACUGGGCUGUAGACUGCCCAAGGUUGGUUUUGUUUUUAACAGGCCCAGCCCAUGA